UACGGAGGGUGCAAGCGUUAUCCGGAUUUACUGGGUUUAAAGGGUGCGUAGGUGGGUCUGUAAGUCAGUGGUGAAAUCUCCAAGCUUAACUUGGAAACUGCCGUUGAUACUAUAGACCUUGAAUGCUGUGGAGGUGAGCGGAAUAUGUCAUGUAGCGGUGAAAUGCUUAGAUAUGACAUAGAACACCAAUUGCGAAGGCAGCUCACUACCCAGAUAUUGACACUGAGGCACGAAAGCGUGGGGAUCAAACAGG
rnacentral:rRNA from 1 species